rnacentral:tRNA from 1 species
GGGGAUUUAGCUCAGUGGUAGAGCGCUUGCCUAGUAGCAAGCGCAAGGCCCUGGGUUCAGUCCUCA